CCUACGGGAGGCAGCAGUGAGGAAUAUUGGUCAAUGGACGAGAGUCUGAACCAGCCAAGUAGCGUGAAGGAUGACUGCCCUAUGGGUUGUAAACUUCUUUUAUAUGGGAAUAAAACGUUCCACGUGUGGGAUUUUGUAUGUACCAUAUGAAUAAGGAUCGGCUAACUCCGUGCCAGCAGCCGCGGUAAUACGGAGGAUCCGAGCGUUAUCCGGAUUUAUUGGGUUUAAAGGGAGCGUAGGUGGAUUGUUAAGUCAGUUGUGAAAGUUUGCGGCUCAACCGUAAAAUUGCAGUUGAAACUGGCAGUCUUGAGUACAGUAGAGGUGGGCGGAAUUCGUGGUGUAGCGGUGAAAUGCUUAGAUAUCACAAAGAACUCCGAUUGCGAAGGCAGUUCACUGGACUGCAACUGACACUGAGGCUCGAAAGUGUGGGUAUCAAACAGGAUUAGAUACCCCAGUAGUC
rnacentral:rRNA from 1 species